GUGCUCUUGCACAACAUAUAUACUAAAAUCAAAACAAUUCAGAGAAGAUUAGCAUGGCCCCUGCACAAAAUGAAAAAUUCGCAAAGCAUUUCAUAGUUUU
rnacentral:snRNA from 1 species